UGGGUCAGUGAUGACCACUGGUGCAUUAUGAGUUGUGGAUCAUGACUACAGGUCUGGGAGUCUAAGGUCUGC